UACGUAGGGGGCAAGCGUUGUCCGGAAUCAUUGGGCGUAAAGAGCGUGUAGGCGGCCCGAUAAGUCCGCUGUGAAAGUCGGGGGCUCAACCCUCGGAUGCCGGUGGAUACUGUCGGGCUUGAGUACAGAAGGGGCAACUGGAAUUCUCGGUGUAGCGGUGAAAUGCGUAGAUAUCGAGAGGAACACCUGCGGCGAAGGCGGGUUGCUGGGCUGAUACUGACGCUGAGGCGCGAAAGCCAGGGGAGCGAACGGG
rnacentral:rRNA from 1 species